CAACACUUUGGAUAAAAUCUAAAGAAUGGUUCAGCCCAUACAAUGGUGGCAGACAUUUUGAAAAACAAUUUUGAAUAACAUUUUUCUUGUUUUAAUUAUUUUAAAACUGUCAUAUCGUGGCCUUUUAUAGCUGAGUACGAGGUAUGUAUUUUGCCAAAAAUAUGAAACAAUUCAAUGGAGAAAACUAACGGCCUAAUUUAUAGCAAAACAGUUUUUGAAUAUGACAAACAUGAACCAACAAAGACCACUGAACUACAGGCUCCCUACUUUGGACAGGCACAUAAAGAAUGUGGCAGGGAUAAACAACUUUGUUAGUGCUCAACUCUCACCUUACCUGGGACAGUGGUGUUAUAGUACAACAUAAGUAAAAAUUACAAAAAUCAGUUGAAAAAGGCUUAACUCAUCAGAUGGAUACAAAUAAAAAUACAUCAUAAAAACAAAAAGACACUAAAUACAGAUCUGAGAGUUCUCAGUUACUGACAGCUAGUUCAAAUCCAAUACCAAUUUAUGAAGAAAAUCAUAUAUCUAAGACCAA
rnacentral:lncRNA from 1 species